rnacentral:rRNA from 1 species
CAGAGGGUGCAAGCGUUAAUCGGAAUGACUGGGCGUAAAGGGCGCGUAGGCGGCCUGUUAAGUCGAACGUGAAAUCCCCGGGCUCAACCCGGGAACUGCGUCCGAGACUGGCAGGCUUGAAUCCGGGAGAGGGAUGUGGAAUUCCAGGUGUAGCGGUGAAAUGCGUAGAUAUCUGGAGGAACACCGGUGGCGAAGGCGGCAUCCUGGACCGGUAUUGACGCUGAGGCGCGAAAGCCAGAGGAGCAAACGGGA